rnacentral:rRNA from 1 species
AGAGUUUGAUCCUGGCUCAGGACGAACGCUGGCGGCGUGCUUAACACAUGCAAGUCGAGCGAUGAAGUUUCUUCGGAAAUGGAUUAGCGGCGAACGGGUGAGUAACACGUGAGGAAUCUGCCCUUCACUUUGGAAUAACUCCGGGAAACCGGAGCUAAUACCGGAUACGAACUCUGGCGGCAUCGCCGGAGUUGGAAAGUUUUUCGGUGAAGGAUGACCUCGCGGCCUAUCAGCUUGUUGGUGAGGUAAUGGCUCACCAAGGCGACGACGGGUAGCCGGCCUGAGAGGGCGACCGGCCACACUGGGACUGAGACACGGCCCAGACUCCUACGGGAGGCAGCAGUGGGGAAUAUUGGGCAAUGGGCGAAAGCCUGACCCAGCGACGCCGCGUGCGGGAUGAAGGCCUUCGGGUUGUAAACCGCUUUCAGCAGGGAAGAAGCGAAAGUGACGGUACCUGAAGAAGAAGCACCGGCUAACUAUGUGCCAGCAGCCGCGGUAAUACAUAGGGUGCAAGCGUUGUCCGGAAUUAUUGGGCGUAAAGAGCUCGUAGGUGGUUCGUUACGUCGGAUGUGAAAACCUGAGGCUCAACCUCAGGCCUGCAUUCGAUACGGGCGAGCUUGAGUGUGGUAGGGGAGGCUGGAAUUCCUGGUGUAGCGGUGGAAUGCGCAGAUAUCAGGAGGAACACCAAUGGCGAAGGCAGGCCUCUGGGCCACUACUGACACUGAGG